UCUCCUUCAUUAGGAAAUAGAAUAUCUCUCCCCCCAUGUAUUUAUUACGUCUCUUAUCUUAUUUAUUAGUAAAUAAAAUAUUCCCUCUUCUCUCCCCUUUAUUAGGUAACAAAAUCAAAGAAUUGUGUCUCCUCUUUGGUCUUCUCUCCCAAAGCUCACAAUCUGCUCUAAGAGAGCUCCAAGAGCUCCCUUUCUCUGUUAUUCAUUUGGCUCUAGGUAUGAAAGGAGCUUAGGGCUUCAUAAUCCUCGAUCGGUUAAAGAAGUCUUUAAGGAUUUUAGAUGAAGGCACGUUGGGACAAUCAAGGCUCUCACCACUGAUGUUGAGAAAUUGUUUCAAUAAUGUGAUCCUCGUGAGUCCUGUUUCUUAUAUGGGAUUGGUGGGGUUUUGGUUUUAAAAAAGUAAUAGUGACUACAGUAUCAAUUUGGUUUCUGGAUGCUGUUAAAUUGUAUAUUUUAAGUAUCUGAGAGUUGCAAUUACUCAGGUUUCACUUUAGAGUUGGUUGGAUCUCAGAUUCAGAGAUAUCUCCAAUUCUAUCCCUUAUUUUAUUUUCAUGUAAUCCGACCAA